GGCAACUUGCCCCAAAAGGGGGUGAGGGUUGUUGGAUAAAUUGGUAUCAUUAGUUAUUGCGCCUAUUUUUGUAGGUUUAGUGAUUCAACUAAUUUCUCAUUGGUUAGAUGAAAAAGACAAUGACUAAAACAAGUUGCCUAUCUAACCCACACAUUUGAAAUCAUAACAAAUGUAAAG
rnacentral:ncRNA from 1 species